AAAUUCUUAAUCUGAAUCUGAAUUUAGAUUUAGAUUUAAAUUUUAGGCAAUAUAUAUUUUUCGUUUUGGAGCUAUGGCGACGAGGAAACGAACGCUGAUAUUCAAGAAAUACAGGGAUGCCUUGAAGAGUGUUAGAAUUCCGGUGAGCUUGUCCGCAGCGACGAGCUCCGGUGGAGGACCUGUAAUUGAGAUGGUUAGUACUUCGUUGCUCCAUCCAAACCGGUCUUAUACUCCUCUACGUACCGAGGAUCCUGGAAAUUCAAGUACGGGUGCAAUUACCGUCGGUCUACCACCAGCUUGGGUAGAUGUAUCUGAAGAAAUAGCAGCAAACGUGCAACGUGCACGGACAAAAAUGGCCGAGUUAGCCAAGGCUCAUGCAAAGGCUUUAAUGCCUUCAUUUGGUGAUGGUAAAGAAGAUCAUCAGAAUAUUGAGGCUCUUACUCAUGAGAUAACUAAUCUGUUGAAGCAAUCAGAGAAGAGAUUACGGAAACUCUCUAAAGCUGGACCUUCUGAGGAUUCAAAUAUCAGGAAAAAUGUUCAGCAUUCACUUGCCACUGACCUCCAGAAACUUUCAGUGGAGCUCCGGAAGAAACAAUCAACUUAUUUGAAGCGCCUCAGGCAGCAAAAAGAGGGUCAGGAUGGAGUUGAUCUAGAGAUGAAUCUAAAUGGAAAUAGAUCAAAAGCAGAAGAUGAUGACUUGGGUGAUAUGGUAUUCAAUGAGCAUCAAAUGGCAAAGCUAAAGCAAAGUGAGGCAUUCACAGUUGAGAGGGAAAGGGAGAUCCAACAGGUUGUGGAGUCAGUAAAUGAGGUUGCUCAGAUUAUGAAGGAUCUGUCAGUUCUUGUGAUUGAUCAGGGCACUAUUGUUGAUCGGAUAGACUACAACAUUCAGAAUGUUGCAACUACGGUGGAGGAAGGCCUCAAACAGCUACAGAAGGCGGAGAGAACACAGAAACAAGGAGGGAUGGUGAUGUGUGCUUCAGUGCUUGUUAUUAUGUGCUUUGUCAUGUUGGUCCUCCUAAUCCUCAAAGAGAUACUUUUUUGAUCUGCAAGCAUGGUUUUUUCCUGACCAUUUCCAUUUUGACCCGCGUUGUGGGCCCAUUACUUGACAUGUCGAGAGUCAACAAUUUCCUCGGCCAGCAUAAGAAUCAAGGAGCUGUAUUGAUUCGUUUGUAUUCCUUGGGGGAUAUCUAGCUGGUUCCCAUACGAGGAGAUGAGGCACUGCCUAUUUACUUGUAUCAAUUCUUUUGAUUUGAAAAAAAAAAUUGACAUAAAUUCACAUUGUUAUAAUAUAUGAGACUCUGACAUUCUACGGAAUUUCCCCCUUGAAUUUGUCAUGAGAAGAUU